GGAACACGUACGCAACCUUCCUUUAAGCGGGGAAUAGCCCAGGAAACUUGGAUUAAUACCCCAUAAGACAAUGGUGUGGCAUCACACAGUUGUUAAGCUCCGGCACUUAAAGAUGGGCGUGCGGCUGAUUAGGUAGUUGGCGGGGUAACGGCCCACCAAGCCGACGAUCAGUAACUGGUGUGAGAGCACGACCAGUCACACGGGCACUGAACACGGGCCCGACUCCUACGGGAGGCAGCAGUAAGGAAUAUUGGUCAAUGGACGCAAGUCUGAACCAGCCAUGCCGCGUGGAGGAUGAAGGCCCUCUGGGUUGUAAACUUCUUUUAUUGGGGAAGAAACCUGUUUUUCUAAAGCAGUUGACGGUACCCGAUGAAUAAGCACCGGGUAACUCCGUGCCAGCAGCCGCGGUAAUACGGAGGGUGCAAGCGUUAUCCGGAUUCACUGGGUUCAACGGGGUGCGUAGGUGGGCAGGUAAGUCAGUGGUGAAAUCUCUGGGCUUAACCCAGAAACUGCCGUUGAUACUAUCUGUCUUGAAUGUAGUUGGAGG
rnacentral:rRNA from 1 species